GUUCGGAAUAUGGGAGUAAACAGGACAGAUGCUGUCCUUCCCUUAUGGGGCUUAUGUUGGAAAGCCAAAAAUUAAUUGUGUAGUUAAUGAUCUGUGUCAAUUACUUGCUGUGUGACCUUGGGUCUGAUUAAUUAACUUCUCUGUGCCCAGUUUCUUCAUCUGUAAAAUGGGGAUGCUAACAAUAGCAUCUAUCUCCUGGGGUUGGAUUGAGGUUAGAUAAGAUAACUCACGCAGAGCUCUUAGGAGAGAGGCUAGCCCAGCCAACCCUCGACAAAUGUCGGCAAUAUUUAUGUGACCCUAGGGUCUAGUCAGGUGCUACAAAAAGUGGGGUUUGUGUGUAGGGAC
rnacentral:lncRNA from 1 species